rnacentral:rRNA from 1 species
GAUGAACGCUAGCGACAGGCUUAACACAUGCAAGUCGAGGGGCAGCAUAGAAGUAGCAAUACUUUGGUGGCGACCGGCGCACGGGUGAGUAACGCGUAUGCAACCUACCUAUCAGAGGGGAAUAACCCGGCGAAAGUCGGACUAAUACCGCAUAAAACAGGGGCACCGCAUGGUGAUAUUUGUUAAAGAGAUUCGCUGAUAGAUGGGCAUGCGUUCCAUUAGGUAGUUGGUGAGGUAACGGCUCACCAAGCCGACGAUGGAUAGGGGGAACUGAGAGGUUGGUCCCCCACACUGGUACUGAGACACGGACCAGACUCCUACGGGAGGCAGCAGUAAGGAAUAUUGGUCAAUGGAGGCAACUCUGAACCAGCCAUGCCGCGUGCAGGAUGAAUGCCCUAUGGGUAGUAAACUGCUUUUAUACGGGAGAAACCCAGGUACGUGUACCUGGUUGAUAGUACUGUAAGAAUAAGGAUCGGCUAACUUCGUGACAGCAGCCG